UUGCACGCUGGCGGCAUGCUUUACACAUGCCAGUCGAACGGCAGCGCGGGCUUCGGCCUGGCGGCGAGUGGCGAACGGGUGAGUAAUACAUCGGAACGUGCCCAGUAGUGGGGGAUAGCUCGGCGAAAGCCGGAUUAAUACCGCAUACGACCUGAGGGUGAAAGCGGGGGAUCUUCGGACCUCGCGCUAUUGGGGCGGCCGAUGGCAGAUUAGCUAGUUGGUGGGGUAAAGGCCUACCAAGGCGACGAUCUGUAGCUGGUCUGAGAGGACGACCAGCCACACUGGGACUGAGACACGGCCCAGACUCCUACGGGAGGCAGCAGUGGGGAAUUUUGGACAAUGGGCGAAAGCCUGAUCCAGCAAUGCCGCGUGUGUGAUGAAGGCCUUCGGGUUGUAAAGCACUUUUGGCGGGAACGAAAAGGACUGUGCCAAUACCACGGUUCGAUGACGGUACCCGCAGAAUAAGCACCGGCUAACUACGUG
rnacentral:rRNA from 1 species